rnacentral:snRNA from 1 species
AGAUGUGGGGACGUUAAGGCCAUCUGGCUGUGACAUCUGUCACCCCAUUGAAUCCAAAGGUUGAUUUGGCUGAUCUGGAUGGCUAGGCGGGUCCCCUUUCUUCCCCACCACUCUGUCUGCAUCCCUCCCAAAGCCGUGAGCUCUGUUGAGAAGGACGACCAUCCUUGACAGAGGAGGACUGUUCUUUAGUCAAGUACACAAGUAGCUGUGCUCCCCUGCUAGAAACUCCAAACAAGCUCUCAAUAAGAAACAUGGACACAGAAGGAGGAGGCCAUAUGGACAUGAAGGAGGGACUGGAGUGAGACAUCUA